GGUUUUUUGCAAAAACAUUGAUGCAGCGUUAGUUGAGAUAGAAUCAGAUGAUGAAAACAAAUUUAUACAAAACAGUCUGAAAAACAUAACAUUAAAAGUUCCACCCCAUGGCUAUUGGAUUGGUCUAACAGACAUUGAGAUAGAAAAUGAAUGGAAAUGGAUUGAAAGCGGAAAUUCUGCGUCAUACGUCAACUGGAAUCCUGGUCAACCGGAUCUGCGUCAGAGUGAAAACUGUGGAAUACUAUGGUACAGUACUGGAUUUACAUGGCAUGAUGACUUCUGUUCGGACAAUUUAGCCUUCUUCAUCUGUGAAAAAGAAAGGGAAGUUUGAAAAGGAACACCACCAAGAUACAGAAAAGUGUGUGUUCGUGAACUUGACAUUAAUUUUCAAUAAAUAAUAAAAGUGU